rnacentral:lncRNA from 1 species
GUCAAUCGUGUUGGAAUCAGAUCUUUCUCUGUCCUGCCCAACUUGGUCAGCAUUCUGUGGGGUAAUAGAUUAAUGGCUGCACCUCCAUCUACCAUGAUCUUGGAAAUAGGAAUACCCCCAAGAUUUGCCGUUAUAAACAAAGGUCUGAGGUGAUUUGCCAUUUCUCUGGUUGGCUUGGCGAAACAAGGUUGCUCUGUAGCUAGUUUAUUGGCUGUUCUGCCUGUCUUGGG